ACGUGGGUAACCUGCCUGUAAGACUGGGAUAACUCCGGGAAACCGGGGCUAAUACCGGAUGCUUGAUUGAACCGCAUGGUUCAAUCAUAAAAGGUGGCUUUUAGCUACCACUUACAGAUGGACCCGCGGCGCAUUAGCUAGUUGGUGAGGUAACGGCUCACCAAGGCGACGAUGCGUAGCCGACCUGAGAGGGUGAUCGGCCACACUGGGACUGAGACACGGCCCAGACUCCUACGGGAGGCAGCAGUAGGGAAUCUUCCGCAAUGGACGAAAGUCUGACGGAGCAACGCCGCGUGAGUGAUGAAGGUUUUCGGAUCGUAAAACUCUGUUGUUAGGGAAGAACAAGUACCGUUCGAAUAGGGCGGUA
rnacentral:rRNA from 1 species